rnacentral:lncRNA from 1 species
AAUAUUAAAUCACUAAAUCCCUAAACCACUAAACGUUUCCUACUUCUUCCUCCUCAAACGCAGAAGCUCCCAAGGCCCAAGCAGAGGCGGUCCCCAGUCCCCUCCUUCAAUUUCAAACAAUCCUUACUCCUCAGCCAUCACCCCUCACUCCAAAAUAGAGAACCAUUCUUCCUCAAUCUCAAUUCCUCUAAUUACUUUGAAAAGUAGCGGACAUCGAAUCUCUGAUUAGUGCUUCUCUUACUUUGAAACUUAGUUUUUAUUUAUAAACUGUAAGAGCGUGGAUAAUUUGGGAUGGAUUUUACUAGAUCCUACGCGUGCUUUAGAUGUAAUUUCUUUCUCCCAGAUUUUAUAUUUAUGCUUAAGAUUUUAUUUAGGUUUGAAAUUUUUGGUUCAAGAAUCCCCAAAAUUUAGGUUUGCCACUAAUAAUUAAAUCAAAUUUUCUCUUGUUGUAGUUUAUCCUUUGACCCUUUUUGCAUUUGAUGAAUUUCUAUUCUUGAUAGACUAUUAAAUUUAUUGAACUCAUUUUU